UAUUCUAUUGAGUGGCAUAGUACAGAGCUGUGACGUCAUGUUAAAUGAACCUGUAACCAAUAUAGAAAAAAAUAUAACACGAUUACGAGGCUCAGGGGCUAAAACCCGACAAUAAUCAAACACUAAAGAGCAAAUAAGACAGAUUAGUUGUUCUGAGAGUGAGACUAUUUUAACAGACUCGAUCCCUGAGCGCCUAAUAGUACUGCAUUGACUUACGAAAAUAUAAUAAUCCAGCUUAACUGAUUACAUGCUGAGGAGGCACAGCCACUAGUCUGAUAAGAGAAAUGUUUUAUGAAGUGUUAUUUGUAAAAAUAAAUGACAUCGAGAGUUUGCUGAAACAGCUUUUCAAAAUUAUCGCACGAACUAAAUGGAAUUGAUAAAAAACUUCAACGACAGUUUACAAUCGGAAAUGAAAAAAAUCGAGUGGCAAUAGAUCUUAAAUACACGAGAUAUUUUCAUAAAUUAUUUGGCAUCAAAAUACAUUCAGAUCAUACCAUGUCUAUAAAUGAGAACAUGCUUUCAAAAUUUAUAAUGUCAAAAAAAACCCAUUUCCACACACAAAUAAGACAGACGGAAUGUUUAUAGAAAUUCUAAAAUUAAGUUCAUGUGAGUUUGUCAUAUUGGUGGUAGCGAGUCAGAAACGGUACUCCUAAAACAUACAGUAUGUCUCUUCGCAAAAUCAUUUUCACAAGAAAUCCCUUCGUUAAACAAGAUCCUAGCGACUUUCUUUUAUGAAAAUCUACUCCAUCCCAUUCUUUUUCUCGGUGUAACCUAUAUAAUUGGUACAACCAUUUUGUUACAGUAAUUAACCGUGUCUAAGGUUUGUAUUUUUGUAAACCAUUUUAUGCUUUCACUUUGUUGUUGAAAUUUCUUAUUUCGGUGUUUGCUAACAUCCCCUAAGUUGUCUCAACAUCCCCUAAGUUGUCUUUAAGACUGCAACAGUGGCUCCGAUAGAUUUGAAUUUUCCUAUUUGAGUCAUUGCUCCCAUGGAGGAAUUUCAGCAGUUUCAAAACAAUUGGAAAAUUGUGGUUCGCUUCCAAUCACUUUUUUAUUACCUGGCUUCUUAAGCCUGUCUUCCACUUAAGCUGCGUCACACGGUACCGGAUCCACUCAUCUUCGUUUGCCGUUAUGAAGCAACGAUUAUUAGUAAAUGAUUAUCAAUUCAUAGAUUUCGUAUAUUUAUUCAGGACACCGCUGUCUUUCAUUAAUUAACUUCAAAAUUCGACAUUGGCCGACAGUAAUCCGAUACCUUGUCAACGGGGCUUUAAGUGUUUUUCAUACGCAGGUACACCGUACACCAACGGAAGAAUGCUUUAACAUUUUUAUUAUAUACCAAAAUUGCGAAAAAACUAAUUCUUUCGAUUUAUUUACUUUUUCAAAGGUAACAUAUAUAAUGAUUUAGACUUCCGUGUGUGUACGUGCGUAUGAAAAACGCGUGCGUGGAAAACAGCCUCAAUAGAAUAGAAAAAAAGGUAAAUUAUCAGAAAUUUGUUAGAUUUGGACUUUACUUGUUAGAUUUGGAAUUACUCCCCAAAUCCUCGAUCUUAACUGAGUUUCACUUUUCUAUGCCCAGUGCUUUUAAAGGCGGUAUUAUUUGAGCGGUUAUUGAUAUUAUCAAUUUUGUCAAAAAUAUAUUAUUUAGAUAUAUCGUUCCAGUUUUCUAACUUUAGUUUGCAGAGCCAUAUAGCUCAGUGGCCACACCCGAAACCUCACCCAGUUCCUGUUUCUUUGAGUCUUUGUAUUUCUUCAAAGUCUGUGUUCGUUGUUUGUCAAAAUGAUCGUAUUCUUUGACUAGAAGCUCCCAAAGUAAUCCUGGGAAGUGUCGAUUUAGUGUUUGAACAAAUCUAAAGUUGUUUUAACAAGCUUUAUCCAGGCAGACAAGCCCAAAGACAAAGGCAUACGGCUUCGGACCAGUCGUGGUAUAAAUAUACACUACAUAGACAAGACCAGAUUGCCGAAGGUAUUAAAUCAAGGUCUUAAAUCUACAUUUCAGUCCAUCUGUCCGUUAUCCUUUCCGAGAUUUGACCAUGUAGUGGAAUCAUCGCUUUGAAGAUUUGAUAAGUAAUAAACCCUGUCUAAUGCCAUGGCUUCUGACGAACUGCAAGAAAAAGCAAAUUUUACAAGACUCAGUAGACUUUUAGUUGACAAAGGAACUGAGGCUUUGAGAAAUACAUUUGAUACCAGCCAUCCACCUGUUAGUCUACCUGGAGUACUGGCUGCAAACAAAAGAUCUCUUCAAAAGUUAAAACCUCGAGUUAUUACUAAUUCCCAGUGGGAUUUACUGUUUCCUCCGUCUGGCAACCCGCCAGAUUCCAAAAACUUUGAUGUCACGUUACUUACAGUUCUAUUCCGGAACAUUUGUGGUUUUCCAUCAACAGGAUGGAGUGUAAUGCCUCCGGAUACUGAUAGGUCAACGCAAGCGAAUAUCACAAGAAUCAAGUGUUACAGAAAUGAAGUUAUUGCACAUGUAACAACAACCAGAGUUGACAAUUCAACAUUUCAAUCUUUAUGGAAGAAAAUCUCCCAGACAUUGGUAGAAUUGGGCGUUUUACAUAGUGAUGUCGACGAUUUAAAAAAAUGUCCUCUUGGGCCUAAAGAAGUAGUGUAUGUGCAAAAGCUUAAAGAUUGGAAACUGCACGAAGAUGAGUGUAUUAAAUUGCUUAAAGUAAUUGAAGCUGGUGUAAAUAAUAUAACACAAGUCGCUGAAGAGACGCGCGAGGCAGUAAAUGAAACGCACGAUGCAGUAAAUGAAACGCACUAUGCAGUAAAUGAAACGCACUAUGCUGUAAAUGAAACGCACGAUGCAUUAAAUGAAGCGCGCGAUGUAGUAAAUGAAACGCGCGAUGCAGUAAAUGAAACGCGCGAUGCAGUAAAUGAAACGCGCGAUGCAGUAAAUGAAAUGCGACAGUCAUUGGCCAAGCGUACGCUAUCAAUACCUGUCAACACCAUUCCUGAAAAAAAUUCCCGCUUGGAAAGUGAUGAAGAUUUAUUGCGAAAACUUGCUAAGCAUAAUUUUAAGGGUAAAAUUAAACGAAAAGUAAAUUUUUUCCUUCCUGGAACAAGAGAGUGGUUGUUAGAGAAAGUUAACGAGUGGUUUCAAAAGUGUGACAGCGAUUCGAGAAUAAAGUUAAUAACAGCUGGACCAGGAUUUGGUAAAAGCGUGUUUGCCGCUAAAAUCUGUGAAGAUUUUGAGAAGAAUGGAAAGCUGGCUGCUUGUCAUUUUUGUGAUUUCAGUGAUUCAAACCUAAGAGAUCCUAUGGUAAUGUUGGAGUCUCUCGCAAGUCAGAUGUGUAAGAAUGUCCCUGGUUUUAAAGAGGAGCUCCUUGAUCAGUUAGGACGACGUCAUCAAAUCAAAAACCUCAAAGAUGCCUUUCAAAUAUAUUUGCAAAAUCCUCUAGAUGAAUUGGAAAUAAAAGAGCCACGUUUAGUCGUGAUCGAUGGCUUAGAUGAAAGUGCUGCUGAUAAUAAGAAUGAAAUUACUCAUUUGAUUGCUGAAUAUUUCCCUGAUCUUCCCGAGUACAUCAAAAUCUUGGUGACGAGCAGACCAGAGAUUUCCGUUGCUGAUCUAAGACUAAGAGACCAUCAAAAGACGAACAUUGCGAAUGUUAACGCUAACAAUAACACAGAUCUUGAACUUUAUUUUAAAGAAUGUCUUCCAAGUUUAGUUGGCAGGGAAGUAAAUCAAAGUGAAGUGAGCCAAGAUUUGUAUGAGUAUCCAUAUCUUCGCCGGUUAAGAUGGGAUAAAUCUAUUAGUUUACUUUCCAUUUUUGUUGCCAAAUGUCAAGGCUCAUUUCUCUAUGCAUAUCACUUUCAAUCUGGGCUAAGGGCUCGCUAUGAUCUUAAAAAGAUAACAAAUAAUGACGUCAUGGAGUUUCUCCCAGAAGGACUGAAUUGUGUUUACGAACGAUAUUUUAAACGCCUGGAAGACGAGCUUAGCGACUUAAAACAUGAAAAGUUUGAUGUGUUGAAAAUUUUGGAAAUGCUGGCAGCUUCCGAAGGACCUCUUCCUCUCACUUUCAUCGCUCAGGCUUUUGGUUUAGCUCCAGAUUGUCGCGAAACGAAAGACAUCAUCAACAAAAUUAAUGAAACCGUAUCGUGCUUGUUGUACGUUUCAGAUGACAUGUUAACCGUUUUUCACAAAUCCGUUAUUGAUUGGCUUCUUGCAAAAGGCUACAAAGAUCACCAGUAUACUGUCAAGGUCGAUGAUGGACAUAGAUCGCUUUGGCUUUUAUGCGAAAAGGGUUUUGAGGAAAUUGUGGAAGGUGUUCGCUCAGGACUUGAGUUGAAGUAUACUAAUGACGUGGAAUACGCUCUGAAACAUGGUUUAAAACAUCUAGAAAAGUGUGAAAUGGAAGAGGGUGGUUUCUGGUCAGUUGAUGUUAUUAUCGUUUGUUAUAUGUUCAAUGUGAUAAUCAGUUUAUAUGAUUUCCUGCGUUUCUGGCACAAAUUACUGCAAUGUUCUGGGUUAAAAAACGAAGAUUUACGCGCCCGCAUUUCGUACCAUGUCAUUGAAUUUGAGUCUUUUGUGCAUCGCGUGGAACAUUACGAGAGCUUACAAAAAAAUUAUUCGACACUACUCCCACAAUGGUAUUUACAAGCGGUUCUUACCCGUUCUCCAGAAGGUUAUUUCAGCGAUGAUGAGAAAAAAAUCGCGGAGACGCUACUAUCAAACCUUUCACCUUUUGUCGAGUCGAAUUCUUACGAAGUUUCGGUUUUGCCGCGAGCAGUCUGGAAACACAGUGACUUUGGUUUUAUUACAGCUGUUGCUUUAUCUAACGAUGAGAAAAGUGUAGCAGUUGGAAUAAGUAAUUUUAUCCAUGUGAUAUCCGUACCAACUUUAGUUGAAAUUAUGAAUUGUUCAACAAAAUCGGAAAAAAUUCCAUGCUGCACAUUUUCUCCAGACGAUUCGCUCAUAUUAUUUGGUAAACUAAAAACGGCGUUUAGCAUUGCUGGAAGAAAGGAAGUUCCAUAUUUCCCUGGAAAUGAAGAGACGUUCCUGUCCUGUGCAUUUUCCCCUAACGGCAAAAGACUGGUGACUAAGGACGGUUUAAACACAAUUAAACUAUGGGACGUUCCUAAACAAAAAAUGCUGUCGUCGCUUUGUGCUGGAUUUCUUGUUGAUUGGUGUUAUUUUAGCGUCACAGGGUUAUUUAUUAUUGCAAAUUCAGAAUCUUCAUCUUAUCCGGGUUAUUCGUUGUGUGUUUGGAACGCCAUCACAUUGCAAAGAAGUGAUAAGCGAAAAUUAUCUCACGUGGAAAGGGAGAAGCCAGAUGUGUUAAAGAGUAGAAAAUGUGAACGAUGUUUUCAGCGGGGAUUUGAGGAACCAAAUUACAAACAGUUAGAAGUAAGGUUAUAUGACAAAUAUAAAAUGAGGUUAUGUGAUGAAACACAUGAAAGAAAAUGUAUAAUGUCGUGUCCGUGGAUCUGCAAAGGUGUGGAGUGUAUUUUUUCGAUUUCUAUGGAAGAAUUAUGUUAUUCGAGUGUCACAGAAAUAAUUCCUUUGACGGCGAUUGUUGCUUGGAACUAUUUUUUGGCCUAUUCUUACUAUGAUCCCUUUUUUCGAGUCAAAAUAACAGCUUUAGAAGAUAAUCUGUGGCUCUAUUCGGAUAAUGGAAAACUAAUUGUCUUUAAGACAUUAGCUCCUAAACAAGAGCAAUCCUGUCUGUCAUAUGCAACGUUUGUUUAUUCGAGUUCGUUUUCUCCUGACGGUUCUCGACUUGCAUCCUGCAACUCAGAUGGAUAUAUCAAUAUAUGGAAUGUCUAUACCAGCCAAGUUGAACAACGUUUCAAAAGCAGCCAAUGCAGGUCAAUAUUUUUAUGCUGGUGGUCAGAAGAUUUCUUGUUUGUUAUUAGUCAAUUUAUUGACGGAAUUCCCAAAUUAACGCGAUACCCGGUAGAUGACAAUCAAGAGAUCUUGUUUACUGAUAGUCAGGACGUGUCGCUAAAAGACUUGUCUGAAUUCAGGCCAGAGAGCUGGUCUGAUUUCCUAGAUUUAAAGGUUGGUUUUUCUGAAGGCUUUGUCAGCUUGGCUUUCGGAGGCUUCGAACACGUGAAAGUUCUCGAUGUCAGAGAUGUUGAUGCUCCUGUAAUGAUCAAUUUGCCUGGAAUUAGGCCUGAGAUGGAAGUGGAAAUCUCGCCUGGUGGUGCCUUUAUCUCUGCUUGUAAUGAGCAUGAAUGUUAUAUUUGGAAAAGAAAUACCAAAAACCCAACUUCAUAUGAAGUCUUUUGUCACGGUAAUGCUGGAGGGCCUGACAGAUUGCCUUAUGUCGUAAUUUUCAGUAAUGAUUCCAAAGUCGCAAUAGUCAUGCACAGGUGUUUUAAUGAGAGUCAGAUAAUUGAUGUGGACACUGGUGAUUAUCAAUAUAUAACUCCUGCAUUCAACCCCAUUUCUUAUUUGAGGUCAUUUUGUAUUCACAAGAGUAGAAUUGUAUUGACUUUAUCUGAAUACCUGAUAAUAUUUUUUGACAUGGACUCUGGCGCGGUUCUCAGCACUUCCUAUCAACGUUACUUGAACACAUUUAGGCCAAGCCAAACAAUUCAACUUUCCAAAAAAGAGGACGUGCUGGCUUUUCCUGACUACAAAGGUGAUAUGGUGUUUCUUCGACUGUCUAUUCCACAAAAUUCUUUGUUGGAUGAUAUUAAGCUUAAGCAACGGGCAGUUGCUUCGUGAUAUGAUAUUAAGCGAGGUGCAGUAGUCAAUCCUUUCUUUAACCGGAAUAAAGUCGUCUUGCAGAAAAAGGUUUUGACUCCUUUUAGGAAAAUCUACACAAAGUAUUUUCUUACAUGUUGGGUUUUCCAGCAAGUUGUUUACCUUAAAGAUAACUGAAGUGAACUCGUUCACACGAGGACGAAAAACAAGAGCAGAAGACUGUUAUGAACGACAGAUGUUUUGGAGUUGAUUUUUCAGUUAGGAUAUUUUAUAAUGGAUUUAGUGAACAAUAACAUGAGAGACUAUCAUCAAGAACAUUGUUUUGGGGAAGCGGCUAGACUUUGCUUGGAGCUGGUCUAGAAUGGAGAAGUAAGACACUUCCUUCCCUCCGUUUGUCUGGGAGUUCACCUUGGGCAAGUGAUAGCACUCCCUUGCCUCCCUAACUGGGGUUACAGUUUGUUAAACAAAACAAAGAUGAUAUCUUGAAUACAUCUGCAAGAAACAAGUCCUAAAAAACUGUGACCAAUGCCAGUCGUAUGAUGGUGUUGUUUAAGAUGUUCAUUAUGAUAGUUACAGACUUACAGUCAUGUUGGUGGUG
rnacentral:misc_RNA from 1 species